rnacentral:rRNA from 1 species
AAAUUGAAGAGUUUGAUCAUGGCUCAGAUUGAACGCUGGCGGCAGGCCUAACACAUGCAAGUCGAACGGUAACAGGAAUCAGCUUGCUGAUUCGCUGACGAGUGGCGGACGGGUGAGUAAUGUCUGGGAAGCUGCCUGAUGGAGGGGGAUAACUACUGGAAACGGUAGCUAAUACCGCAUAAUGUCGCAAGACCAAAGAGGGGGACCUUCGGGCCUCUUGCCAUCGGAUGUGCCCAGAUGGGAUUAGCUUGUAGGUGGGGUAACGGCUCACCUAGGCGACGAUCCCUAGCUGGUCUGAGAGGAUGACCAGCCACACUGGAACUGAGACACGGUCCAGACUCCUACGGGAGGCAGCAGUGGGGAAUAUUGCACAAUGGGCGCAAGCCUGAUGCAGCCAUGCCGCGUGUAUGAAGAAGGCCUUCGGGUUGUAAAGUACUUUCAGCGGGGAGGAAGGGAGUAAAGUUAAUACCUUUACUCAUUGACGUUACCCGCAGAAGAAGCACCGGCUAACUCCGUGCCAGCAGCCGCGGUAAUACGGAGGGUGCAAGCGUUAAUCGGAAUUACUGGGCGUAAAGCGCACGCAGGCGGUUUGUUAAGUCAGAUGUGAAAUCCCCGGGCUCAAC